GAGUGGCGAACGGGUGAGUAACACGUGGGUAACCUGCCCAUCAGAAGGGGAUAACACUUGGAAACAGGUGCUAAUACCGUAUAACAAUCGAAACCGCAUGGUUUUGAUUUGAAAGGCGCUUUCGGGUGUCGCUGAUGGAUGGACCCGCGGUGCAUUAGCUAGUUGGUGAGGUAACGGCUCACCAAGGCCACGAUGCAUAGCCGACCUGAGAGGGUGAUCGGCCACAUUGGGACUGAGACACGGCCCAAACUCCUACGGGAGGCAGCAGUAGGGAAUCUUCGGCAAUGGACGAAAGUCUGACCGAGCAACGCCGCGUGAGUGAAGAAGGUUUUCGGAUCGUAAAACUCUGUUGUUAGAGAAGAACAAGGAUGAGAGUAACUGUUCAUCCCUUGACGGUAUCUAACCAGAAAGCCACGGCUAACUACGUGCCAGCAGCCGCGGUAAUACGUAGGUGGCAAGCGUUGUCCGGAUUUAUUGGGCGUAAAGCGAGCGCAGGCGGUUUCUUAAGUCUGAUGUGAAAGCCCCCGGCUCAACCGGGGAGGGUCAUUGGAAACUGGGAGACUUGAGUGCAGAAGAGGAGAGUGGAAUUUCCAUGUGUAGCGGUGAAAUGCGUAGAUAUAUGGAGGAACACCAGUGGCGAAGGCGGCUCUCUGGUCUGUAACUGACGCUGAGGCUCGAAAGCGUGGGGAGCAAACAGGAUUAGAUACCCUGGUAGUCCACGCCGUAAACGAUGAGUGCUAAGUGUUGGAGGGUUUCCGCCCUUCAGUGCUGCAGCUAACGCAUUAAGCACUCCGCCUGGGGAGUACGACCGCAAGGUUGAAACUCAAAGGAAUUGACGGGGGCCCGCACAAGCGGUGGAGCAUGUGGUUUAAUUCGAAGCAACGCGAAGAACCUUACCAGGUCUUGACAUCCUUUGACCACUCUAGAGAUAGAGCUUCCCCUUCGGGGGCAAAGUGACAGGUGGUGCAUGGUUGUCGUCAGCUCGUGUCGUGAGAUGUUGGGUUAAGUCCCGCAACGAGCGCAACCCUUAUUGUUAGUUGCCAUCAUUCAGUUGGGCACUCUAGCAAGACUGCCGGUGACAAACCGGAGGAAGGUGGGGAUGACGUCAAAUCAUCAUGCCCCUUAUGACCUGGGCUACACACGUGCUACAAUGGGAAGUACAACGAGUCGCGAAGUCGCGAGGCUAAGCUAAUCUCUUAAAGCUUCUCUCAGUUCGGAUUGUAGGCUGCAACUCGCCUACAUGAAGCCGGAAUCGCUAGUAAUCGCGGAUCAGCACGCCGCGGUGAAUACGUUCCCGGGCCUUGUACACACCGCCCGUCACACCACGAGAGUUUGUAACACCCGAAGUCGGUGAGGUAACCUUUUGGAGCCAGCCGCCUAAGGUGGGAUAGAUGA
rnacentral:rRNA from 1 species